GAUGAACGCUAGCGGCAGGCCUAAUACAUGCAAGUCGAGGGGCAGCACGGUAGCAAUACUGGUGGCGACCGGCGCACGGGUGCGUAACACGUAUACAAUCUGCCUUUAACAGGGGGAUAGCCCGGAGAAAUCCGGAUUAAUACCCCAUAAUACUUGAAGUAGCAUUAUUUUAAGUUGAAAGCUCCGGCGGUUAAAGAUGA
rnacentral:rRNA from 1 species